CCGCUCCGUCUCCCUCCUAAGAACAGCACCUCCAGCCAGCACGUUCUGCUGGCAUCACUGGUGUCACUAGAUUGCACGGAAAUGGACCGUCUUCUCGACGCAGCCAUUUCCCUGGGAGGGACCCUCUCCUCAGGAGAGCAUCACCUUCGCAGGGUGUCUCUAGAGAGUCCCGCCCACUCCCCGGUGAAAGCCCUGCGCACGGGGCUCUGCUGUCAAAAAUGACCCCCCUGCUCUGACCCACCGCCCUCAGCUCUCCAAGCGGCGGCGUGAGACUGGGCUCUGAUCAUUUCGUGGACCACCUACCUCCCAGCCUCUGGGGCUGUCGGACCCAGAAGCUCCUGGUUUGCCUCUACGUUUGCAGAGCGGACCUCACUUCUUGCUUGUGCUCUCGCGCGUGUCCCGUAUCCUGAAAUUGGGGCUUUCCUUCCCGCUUCACCGUAACACUACAGGCAGGAAGAUAGCCAACUUUUGCAUUUUUCCCGUUAAUUUUUACUGCAAAACGAACUCACAUACAUUGUUCUUUUUUUUUUUAAUUAAAUAGCAUUGAUCUGUGUGUGGGUGAAGUCAACAGGGAAGGGGGGAUCUGCCAUGGAGGGGAUGCAACAGACAUUUUAAAGACGAUUUUCAGGGGAGUUCUCGUCGUGGCGCAGUGGUUAACAAAUCCGACUAGGAACCAGGAGGUUGCCGGUUCGAUCCCUGGCCUUGCCCAGUGGGUUAAGGAUCUGGCAUUGCCGUGAGCUGUGGUGUAGGUUGCAGACGCGGCUCGGAUCCCGUGUUGCUGUGGCUCUGGUGUAGGCUGGUGGCUACGGCUCCAAUUAGAUCCCUAGCCUGGGAAUCUCCAUAUGCCUGCGGCCCUAGAAAAGGCAAAAAGACAAAUAAAAUAAAAUAAAUAAGGACGAUUUUCAGGAGUUUUCUUGGAGCCCAGCCCCACGAGCCUGCAGGAGACCCAGGGAACGGAAGGUCUCUACUCGCUGUGCCUCGCUUUCCCCGCCCUGCCUUUUGUCCUUUGGUCAUGGUCAUCAGAGACGGAACCUUCUGACUCAUUUGUCCGCUCACUGGUUUACUGGCGGCAUCUGGGCGGCAGCCUCAGCCCCUGAGCCCCAGAGGCUCCCCUGUCUGGUUCACCUCCGUAUUCCCCAGACCCAAACGACGCCAGGCCGUGGCCAAUGCUGGUCUGAACGUGCUUUGAGUGAACAGUGGAUGGAUCAAAGGUUAUCUCAAACAUGCACGUGUCCUCUGGCCCCACAGUGGUAUUUCUGGACGGUAUCCCGCAGGCACACCUGAGCCCAUGGGCCAAAUACAACACAGACAAGUUUCUCUCCUGGCGCUUUUCAGAAACAGCUCAUCCUCCGUGGGAGGAGAGCGGCGUGCAUCACUCUGGGUGUGUUCACGCUGUGAAAGAUCCCCCUGCACUCCAAAGACAGUGAAGAAGCUCUUGGCAAACUGACAGGAGGCAGGGUCCGAGACGUCUCGUCCCACGAGGGGGACCACGUGCCACAGGGUCAACGCGAUCCCUCUGCGGCCAUGCAGGCGCAGGUGUGCCUGGCCACCUUCGAGAAAGGGGUUACGCCCAGGAACACUUACCUGGGAGUUUUGCAUAAAUAUGUAUGGAAAACGGAGCACGAGGUGAAACAGGAGAGGUUGGCGUUAUGGAAAUUGCCACCAGAGGAGAGAGGGGUGAAGGCACAGACCGCGAGGGCAGACGCGGUUUCUCUCUGUUCUGUCGCCUGCGUGCCUUUGUGCGUCUUCGGGAUGAGUCGGUGGAGGAGCAGGCCUAAGGAGAGACAGCAAUUUGCAUGACAUUAGCUAAGAGGUCUGUUGUCUCGGGCAGACUGGAGCUUAGUAUUUAUAGGAUGUGCGUGUGCAUGAAGGCUUUCCAAACGCUUGUAACAGAGUCGGGAACGAAAGGAAAUGAGAGAUGAACAGAUCGAAUACAAAGGAAAGGUUUCUGUCAU
rnacentral:lncRNA from 1 species